UAAAUAUGUAUGAAUAAUCAAAUGCUCCUUCAUGUGUAUAGUUUUUGAGGCUGGGGCUGAAUGUAUUUGUAUAAGAGCUUGCUAAGUGCUUUAUGUUCAUAAUAUGCGACUGAAAGCUGAUUGUUGGAGUAUUUGAAGAGUCAUUUUUUGGUAGCCUGCACAGAGAUGGAUGAGAAGUCAACACUCAUGGGCAACUGAAGAGGACCUGUAUUGCUGCAAGACACUGCCAGACCUUCAAAGAUUAAUUGAUAGUUCUCAUGAGGCAAACUUAACAAUGCAAUCUCCUUCAAACUGAGAUGUUCAAUGCUGUGAGAGAGAAAGCGGACUGAACAAAGAAUAAUAAUCGCCUCGAAAAAUAAAGCACACGUUUGGGAUAGGGAUGUCUCUCUUCGUUUCCCUAAUAUGGAGGAGCCGGUGUUGGACUGGGGUGGACAAGUUAAAAAUCACACAACACCAGAGAAGAAAACAUUCUUACCAGCAACGGAGGAAAUUGCAGGAUCCAAUGGAAUGGAUCUAGAUCGACUUUGUAAAGAAAAGCAGAUUCCAAUGACUAACAAUUUUUCCUGAAGAUCUUAUCUGGCUUCUUUAUCCACAAAUCAGCCCUGAAGAUCCUGGCAUUUUGUGUCGGGUCAAAUCUCUGAAACGACCGACAAGAAUUUAAUAAAAUGCCCUUUGAAUAUC